GACGAACGCUGGCGGCGUGCUUAACACAUGCAAGUCGAACGGAGUGGCGAACGGGUGAGUAUUACGUGAGUAACCUGCCCUCAACUGGGGGAUAAGCCUGGGAAACUGGGUCUAAUACUGCAUAGUUGGGGAUGGGCUCGCGGCCUGUCAGCUUGUUGGUGGGGUGAUGGCCUACCAAGGCGGUGACGGGUAGCCGGCCUGAGAGGGUGGGCGGCCACACUGGGACUGGGGUACUGCCCAGACUCCUACGGGAGGCAGCAGUGAGGGAUAUUGCACAAUGGGGGCAAGCCUGAUGCAGCGACGCCGCAUGAGGGAUGAAGGCUGUCGGGUUGGAAACCUCUUUCGGUACAGAACGAGUAUGUGCAGGAGAAGCGCCGGCUAGCUACGUGCCAGCAGCCGCGGUAAUUC
rnacentral:rRNA from 1 species